GGGCGAUGCCUUUCACAGCCAAAGCACGUCUCUCUCUCUCUCUCUCUCUCUCUCUCUCUCUCGGUCGUGUCUUUUUCAAAUUUGGUUCUGUUUGAUUUGGGCGAAGUCUCUCUCUCAAUCGUCUCUCUCUUCCGAUUUUUGGUUUUGUUCGACGUCUCUUCCGAUUUUUGGUUCUAUUUGACGUCUCUCCCUUAUCGAUUUACUGUCAAUUUGAUUGCCUCCGACCUCCACGUGAGAAUCGUUGUAUAGCGCCAACUUGUGACUCGAGUGAGGGCAUUAGAGUUGGGGGAACGCUUGACUGAUCGGUUGGGUAGGUCUCAGAGAUGCGGCUUACUGGCUCGCCCUUUCCAAGUGGGGAGUUGGGGCAUGUGGUCCAUGCGAAGGCUUGGGCCAUGUGUCUUCUAGAGAGGAGGGCACAGCGUUAGACUGGCUUCACAGAGCAGCGAACACCUCCCGCUCUUCACGGUGGAAGGAUAACGGAUUGGUGCAUUUCGGGUCCACAUUACCCGGUCCGUCGGUUAGGGUUGAACCUCCACUUUUGCUUUGACCGCAUAAUUUGGCAGAAAAUGAUUCAUAUAGCCGAUCCCACCUAGUGGGACUUAAGGCUUGGUUUUGUUGUUGUAGUCUUGAAUAGCCACAAGAAGUGGACUUAACCUUGACAAUUUCCUGUUUCUAUGCAGGUUUUGAUAUUCUC